AGUCGUAACAAGGUCUCCGUAGGUGAACCUGCGGAGGGAUCAUUACACAAUAAACAUAUGAAGGCUGCACCGCCAACAGGCGGCAAGGCUGGAGUAUUUUAUUACCCUUGUCUUUUGCGCACUUGUUGUUUCCUGGGCGGGUUCGCCCGCCUCCAGGACCACAUGAUAAACCUUUUUUAUGCAGUUGCAAUCAGCGUCAGUACAACAAAUGUAAAUCAUUUACAACUUUCAACAACGGAUCUCUUGGUUCUGGCAUCGAUGAAGAACGCAGCGAAAUGCGAUACGUAGUGUGAAUUGCAGAAUUCAGUGAAUCAUCGAAUCUUUGAACGCACAUUGCGCCCUUUGGUAUUCCAAAGGGCAUGCCUGUUCGAGCGUCAUUUGUACCCUCAAGCUUUGCUUGGUGUUGGGCGUUUUUUGUCUUUGGUUUUGUCCAAAGACUCGCCUUAAAACGAUUGGCAGCCGGCCUACUGGUUUCGCAGCGCAGCACAUUUUUGCGCUUGCAAUCAGCAAAAGAGGACGGCACUCCAUCAAGACUCUAUAUCACUUUUGACCUCGGAUCAGGUAGGGAUACCCGCUGAACUUAAGCAUAUCAAUAA
rnacentral:misc_RNA from 1 species